UACGAAGGGGGCUAGCGUUGCUCGGAAUCACUGGGCGUAAAGGGUGCGUAGGCGGGUCUUUAAGUCAGGGGUGAAAUCCUGGAGCUCAACUCCAGAACUGCCUUUGAUACUGAGGAUCUUUGAGUCCGGGAGAGGUGAGUGGAACUGCGAGUGUAGAGGUGAAAUUCGUAGAUAUUCGCAAGAACACCAGUGGCGAAGGCGGCUCACUGGCCCGGUACUGACGCUGAGGCACGAAAGCGUGGGGAGCAAACAGG
rnacentral:rRNA from 1 species